CCAGAGAAGGGAGCACCUUGUUGAAGGUCACCGAGCCAGGAUGUGACAAUGACACGGAUCAGCAUGCUGCCUUUUGCCCACACCGGGGCCCUGGGCAGGACCAUGCUGCACAUGCAACUCGUGUAGGUAGUGUGGUUUCCAUUGCCUGGCAUGCAGCUUUAAGAGAGGGGGCCCGUGAUGGUGCAGUUUUGCUGACAGGAUCUCGGAGCCUGCAGAGCUGGCCCCCUAGCCUGGCCACAGCUGCAGACCUGCUCCAGGACGGCCUGGAAGGAGUGUGACCACAGCCCGACUCCAGCAGGCGGUCGAAGCCUGCUUCCCUCCACCCUCACUGCUGGGGUCUGGGAGCUCUGAGUCUUCUUCCUCAACUGGUCCCCACCGACAGAGGAUGUCAUGAACCUUUGAAAUGAGAUGAAAACUCCCACUAGGCUGGAAACUAAGGAAAACAUCACUGGACCUGCAUUCCCACGCUGCUGCCAUGACGCUGUCCGCCCCAGGACACUCUGCAUGGAGGAAACGCAAACCUGUCCUUCCUCCCCAGCCUUCCCCACUCGACAGGCUUGGAAGGUCCCAGAGCAAGGCCGCUGAUCGUUUCCCAGACUCCAGGGCACUUUCGCUCCUGCAGAGAAUCACAGAAUAUUAGCACUACAAGGACCUUAAAGGAGCCUUUAAUCCAACACCUCAUUUUAGAUACAGAGGCGAAGCAGGGACUAAAAUGUAGGUCUUCUGACUUCCAGGCGAAGCAAGCGUGGCAUAGUUGACGAUCCAAGGACAAAUUUAGGUUUGAGUGUAGUCUUCCCUCCUCCUAGAUGUGUGACCUUGUGCAAAACUUCAUUUCUCUGAACCUCAGGGUUUUCAUCUGAAAAGUGGGCAGGGUUCCCACAGGGAUUAAUAGAAAGCACUUCACACCGUGCUGGGCGUGUUUUCAGUGCUCGGUACAUAUUUCCUUCUGGGCACUUUCCUAACCUCUCCAAGGCUCAGGAUUCCUAUCUGAGCAGUGGGGGUGACAACUGGAUGGUAGGAGGUGAUGCACGUAUGUAAAAGGGUUCGCCCGGUGCUUAGCACACGGAAGCAAUUACAAUGAGCAUAUUACCAUUAGCCCCUCUCUCCGCCUUCCUUUCUUCCCUCGCAAGUCUCCCACUGCGCCAUGUAGAUAAGUGACAAGUGUCAUGUGUAGGGUGUACCAUGGUGAGUACACCGUACGCUGGGUCAGCAGCCCCAGGGCCCUGCAGGGUGAAGUCCGCUCCACGGCUUGCCCGUCCCUGAGGCGCUCGAUCAGGGUCCCAUGGUCCACACAAGCUCUCUCCACCAUCUGGACAUCUAACUCCCUCCUUGGUUUAUUCCGUCAGGGGGAGGCGUCCUAAAUCCCCUGUGAAGCCACCAGGCAGCCUCCUGCGGCGGUCAGCCACCCGACACCUUCCAUCCCCACAGGAAUCCCGCUCAGAGGAGCCAGUGGUCUCGGGAAGAUCCCGAGGCGGCUUCCUGGUGAUCUGGUCCGGAGGAAACGGCCACCAGGCAUUGGUGAAGGCUGUGGACACUGUGGACACGUGCUGUGCAAAGGGACUUCCUGGGCCCCAAGCCUUCACUUGCCAUGGGCUGGCCAGGUCCUCUCCGAGCCACAGGCGGUUGGCCUGAAGGACCAAGGGGCUCUUCCCAGGGGGAGUCUGGUGCCAGAGCCCGUCUGACUGGUCUCCUGCUCGGGAGGAGUGAGACAGACCAGGGGGCCAUAGUGCCAAAUAAUCAGUCAAUGAACCUCAAGACCACCAAGCCGACCUGCUCCCAGCUCAGUCAGUCACCGCACACGGAGGGGUGGAAGCACCCCAGACUCGGAGAGCAGGCACUUGGGCUCCAACGCUGCCUCUGCUGCUGGCCGCCUUCAGAUGUCUCCUCACCACCCAAAACCUCACUUCGCUCAUCUGUAAAACGAGGAUGGUCCAACCUAUCGUUUAUCAGUGGAGUGAAAACGCAACUGGAAGUCGAAGAUGCUGACUUCAGUGCCUGCCACGCUGUCAUUAGUUUGCGAUGACGCAGUCAGGGCAAAGCAUAAAGGGAAGGACAGCCAGGCCAGCAGUGUCCCUGGGAGACCCUCGCUGCCGUGCCUGACAUCGUCGUCGAACCCUGGCUCCACCUUUUCUAGCCAGUUACUUAACGUUUCUAGAAAGUGCCUCAGUUUCUCUAUCUGUAAAUGGGGAUAAGGAUGAGACCCACCCCAAAUGGGCUUAUGAUGAUUAAAUUAAUUUCUUAAUGCACAAGGCUUAGGUAGUAAGUGCUCAGUAAAUGUUGGCUAUUAAUAACAGAACUAAAUGAUUCAGCAGCAGCCUGAAAUAAACUCCUAAAAGUGUGAGUUUCUGGAAGCCCAUUAUUCUGCCUUUCUGAAAUGACAGGUAGGCAGAAGG